rnacentral:rRNA from 1 species
GAUGAACGCUGGCGGCGUGCCUAAUACAUGCAAGUCGAGCGAACAGACGAGGAGCUUGCUCCUCUGACGUUAGCGGCGGACGGGUGAGUAACACGUGGAUAACCUACCUAUAAGACUGGGAUAACUUCGGGAAACCGGAGCUAAUACCGGAUAAUCUAUUGAACCGCAUGGUUCAAUAGUGAAAGACGGUUUUGCUGUCACUUAUAGAUGGAUCCGCGCGGCAUUAGCUAGUUGGUAAGGUAACGGCUUACCAAGGCGACGAUGCGUAGCCGACCUGAGGGGGUGAACGGCCACACUGGAACUGAGACACGGUCCAGACACCUACGGGAGGCAGCAGUAGGGAAUCUUCCGCAAUGGGCGAAAGCCUGACGGAGCAACGCCGCGUGAGUGAUGAAGGUCUUCGGAUCGUAAAACUCUGUUAUGAGGGAAGAACGAAUGUGUAAGUAACUAUGCACGUCUUGACGGUACCUAAUCAGAAAGCCACGGCUAACUACGUG